UCAGGUUGCAUCUUCUCACAUUCCUCCCGUAUCGACUGAAAAAGAACGGUGGAAAGAUACCUCUCGCCAAAGCUGGGGAACACAACCGCAAUAAGCUUUCCAGCAUUUUCAGGUCUCUUUGCGACCUUAAUAGCGGCAGCAGCAGCUGCCCCAGAAGAAAUACCAACCAGCAAUCCUUCCUGGAGAGCCAACUGCUUAGCUGUUUCAACUGCUUCGGCACUGGAUAUCUCAAUGAUCUCAUCAACAACUUCGUUAUCUAAAUUUCUUGGCACGAAACCUGCCCCUAUACCUUGAAUUUUGUGUGGGCCAGGCUUCCCCCCUGAAAGUAUGUUACUUUCAGUAGGCUCGAUGCCAAUAACCUUAACAUUAGGAUUUUUAUUCUUCAAAAACCG
rnacentral:misc_RNA from 1 species